GACGAACGCUGGCGGCGUGCCUAAUACAUGCAAGUUGAGCGCUGAAGGUUGGUACUUGUACCAACUGGAUGAGCAGCGAACGGGUGAGUAACGCGUGGGGAAUCUGCCUUUGAGCGGGGGACAACAUUUGGAAACGAAUGCUAAUACCGCAUAAAAAACUUUAAACACAAGUUUUAAGUUUGAAAGAUGCAAUUGCAUCACUCAAAGAUGAUCCCGCGUUGUAUUAGCUAGUUGGUGAGGUAAAGGCUCACCAAGGCGAUGAUACAUAACCGACCCGAGAGGGGGAGUGGCCACAUUGGGACUGAGACACGGCCCAAAGCCCUACGGGAGGCAGCAGUAGGGAAUCUUCGGCAAUGGACGAAAGUCUGACCGAGCAACGCCGCGUGAGUGAAGAAGGUUUUCGGAUCGUAAAACUCUGUUGGUAGAGAAGAACGUUGGUGAGAGUGGAAAGCUCAUCAAGUGACGGUAACUACCCAGAAAGGGACGGCUAACUACGUG
rnacentral:rRNA from 1 species